GUUCAUUAGUACUUGUGUGAGUUGAAGAACACUGCCAGCCAGAUACAUAAAUAGUAUCCAAAUGCUUAGCCAUCAUAGUAACUUGAACAGGGUCAAGUGCACCAAAAGUCCUUGAAGCUGUCCCAUUAGCUUGAUGAGUCUUGAGUGUCCUCCAUAGCUUCUGAGCCAACUCAUUGGAUGCAUAACUUUGCCUCAUAGUUCCUCUUAGUGCCACCACAUCCCUAGCUGAAUAUGCCCUCUUUGUUAGCCUGAACCUCUCUGUGUUCCACCAUGCUUGCACCUCUGCUACCUCUGCUUCAAAUCUCCUCUCUUCUUCCAUAAUCAUUGAAGGAACUGAGUAAGAUGCAGCCAUGGCUAGAACUUUUAAUCUUUUUUUAUUUUGUGUAG
rnacentral:misc_RNA from 1 species